rnacentral:Y_RNA from 1 species
GGUUGGUCCCAGUGCAGUGGUGUUUACGACUAAUUGAUCACAACCAGUUACAGAUUCCUUUGUUCCUUCUCCACCCCCACUGCUUCACUUGACCAUAAA